rnacentral:lncRNA from 1 species
ACAAUUUAAGUCAUUUUAAUUAAAUCAGAAGCAUCAAAAAAUUAGCAAACACGUUCAUAAUCUCAAAAAAAAUUAAAAAGAAUAAAGAGAAAGGACUAGAAGAGAAAGUCGGUGUCUCUCCGAAGUCAGACUAGUGUGUGUCCCAUUUCUUCCUUAUGCUUUGUUCUAUCAAUUAAAGGCCUCCAAGAUGUUCAAUGUUGCUUCUCCAAUGACUUGCAAAACUCUUUUUCAAGAGAGAAGCAAUCGAAAAUAGGAAAGGGAAAGAAUGAGAAGCAAAUGGGAGAAAUUGAUGAGAAGUGAG